UUUUAAAAAAGGCCAUGAGAGAUGCCUCAUCCCCUGCCUUUGAAUUUGAUAGAUUUAUUGUAAAAGCAAGUAUAGGGAUAGAAAGUUGUUAAUUUACUGGAAAUUAAAGCACACUUGAAUAAAAUCAUGAGAGCAAAUUGCGAUGGAAUAAGAAGAGAAGACGUCUAGGAAAGUCCAAUUGAUUUUCCAUAUAAAAACUGUUAAUAUAUAUAAUUUUACAUAACAUCUUUCUGAGUUGCAACAAUUUUCUUCCUGAAUGUUAAAGCUUUAAUUCUGCUAAACUUGUAGGCAUUUUAUAAUUAAGUAGAAGCUUGUUUCUGGCUAAGCUAAACUAAGCUUGUGGACAUUGGAAGCGCAGAAUCAGCAAACGGCCACAGCUUGUUUCCCCUACUUCCUCAUUCUUCUGAUUCUGGUUCUGCUUUGCUCAGUCAACCUCUAUUGCAAGACCAAAACCUGUUUACAGAAAUAGAACAAGAAGUCCAAGUUCUUCACUGGGAAAAGCCUUCCGCUCUAGAGAAGGAAAUUCGCGGAUUGAAGUCCAGUUUUUCUAGACUCGAAACAGUGGUGCAAACCAGCGUUUCAAAACUGCAAUCAGGGCCUUCAUGAAUCCUAGUUAUAUGGGUGUGAAAGAGUUUCUAAUUUCUUAUGUGAGAAUCAGGAAGCAGCAAUCACCAGCCUUAAAGAAAAGGUUGACAACUUGAAGACAAGUCUUAAUGGUGAAAUUAUUGGACGUGAAGCUGACAAACGGAUUUACAGUGCUGGAUUCACAAAUCAAGGACUGGCCCAUACAAGGCUAGAAGAUAAGAAUAUUGAAGAAAGAAAUUAAUGAGCUGAAAACCAUAGUUGAUGAGAUGAUGUCUACCAUGCUUGAUUUGGCUGCUGCUAUUGCUGACUUAAAGCAUGAAUCUCUUCAACCAAAGGAGUCAAAUGAAUCAGCUCAAGUUAGAAUAACAGACUUGGCGAUGAUAACAGUUUCAAAGGAAGAACAUUACAUCGUUAUCAUAUUUUUAAUCGCAGUUCUUAUUGGUCUCAAUCUUCAACCAAAUUGUGUCUUGACAUCUGGUACCAUGUUGUUGUGAGCAUCUACAAAAAGUUUUAAGGAACUUUUGUUUAUUUUUAUCUUAAAUUUAUGCCGCUGUUUGCUUAAAGUUACUAGGAUUAGGUUAGUGGGAACGGGUUUGUAUAGUUUGUAUGUGAUUAUAACUUCAAAUCUCAAUACCAUUAUAGAAAGGGAAAAAAACUGUUGAAAAAUUUCCGUAGGUAUAAUGCCUUUUUAUUUGGUACUCUGAAUGUGAAGAAUGAAUGGGAUCAAUUGGUUCGUGAUGGGGGAAAGGAUUGGAGAAAAUGAAAAUAAAGUUGUUAGUUAUGAGAUUCUAUUCAA